rnacentral:misc_RNA from 1 species
GUGCAUCUUAGUGCUGACGCUCCAUCCCCUUCAGUCCCUCCCCAAGUAAGCAUUCUCCUUGUGGGUUUGCGAGGUAUCCUGUGUUGCUUACCAUUGGAAUGGUAUUUGAUGGCUUUGUUACAUGCAUCCGCCUUGUGCUCGAUURGGUGCGAGGUGGACAUGAGGCAAGCUCUGUGUUCCUAGCAUGCCAAGUGCUUCGGCAUUUGGUUGYUGUGGCCCAUGGUGUCUUUGCUUGUUAUCUUGGAUGCAGAAAGCUAUGUGUGGGCACGAGGUCUUGGCCUUGAAUCGUCCAAGCACUGUCUUUUCACUCRAAUGACUGCUGCGCUUGCAUUGUUCUAACCGACCGAGGCCUCGCAAUGGGGCUUACCGGAUGAGGGCGGAUCAUGCGGGUGUUGGUGUCAAAGAGGAAAGC